UCGGCUAAGCCAUGCGAGUGGUGGGCGUUCCGCAAGGGAUAGCCCCGCACACGGCUCAGUAACACGUAGUUAACCUACCCUCGGGACGGGAACAACGCCGGGAAACUGGCGUUAAUUCCAGAUAGGUGGGGGACGCUGGAAUGCCUCCCUGCCUAAAUCCUCUGGGGCCCGAGGAUGGGACUGCGGCCUAUCAGGCUGUUGGUGGUGUAACGGACCACCAAACCUACAACGGGUACGGGCGAUGGGAGUCGGAGCCCGGAGAUGGGGACUGAGACAAGGCCCCAGGCCCUACGGGGCGCAGCAGGUACGAAAACUCCGCAAUGCGCGAAAGCGUGACGGGGGAACCCCAAGUGCCGUUGGGCUUUGAUCGACGGCUUUUAGGGAGUCUAAGAAGCUCCCGGAAUAAGGGCUGGGCAAGUCGGGUGCCAGCCGCCGCGGUAAUACCCGCAGCCCAAGUAGUGGUCGCGAUUAUUGGGCCUAAAGCGCUCGUAGCCGGGUCAUCAAGUCCCUUGUGAAAUCGGGCGG
rnacentral:rRNA from 1 species